CAGUAGCCGCGGUAAUACGUAGGUGGCAAGCGUUGUCCGGAUUUAUUGGGCGUGAAGCGAGCGCAGGCGGUCAAUUAAGUCUGAUGUGAAAGCCCCCGGCUCAACCGGGGAGGGUCAUUGGAAACUGGGAGACUUGAGUGCAGAAGAGGAGAGCGGAAUUCCAUGUGUAGCGGUGAAAUGCGUAGAUAUAUGGAGGAACACCAGUGGCGAAGGCGGCUCUCUGGUCUGUAACUGACGCUGAGGCUCGAAAGCGUGGGGAGCAAACAGGAUUAGAUACCCCAGUAGUCCCUGUCUCUUAUAC
rnacentral:rRNA from 1 species